GACGAGCGCUGGCGGCGUGCUUAACACAUGCAAGUCGAACGGAAAGGCCCUGCUUUUGUGGGGUGCUCGAGUGGCGAACGGGUGAGUAACACGUGAGUAACCUGCCCUUGACUUUGAGAUAACUUCAGGAAACUGGGGCUAAUACCGGAUAGGAGCUCCUGCUGCAUGGUGGGGGUUGGAAAGUUUCGGCGGUUGGGGAUGGACUCGCGGCUUAUCAGCUUGUUGGUGGGGUAGUGGCUUACCAAGGCUUUGACGGGUAGCCGGCCUGAGAGGGUGACCGGCCACAUUGGGACUGAGAUACGGCCCAAACUCCUACGGGAGGCAGCAGUGGGGAAUAUUGCACAAUGGGCGGAAGCCUGAUGCAGCAACGCCGCGUGCGGGAUGACGGCCUUCGGGUUGUAAACCGCUUUCGCCUGUGACGAAGCGUGAGUGACGGUAAUGGGUAAAGAAGCACCGGCUAACUACGUG
rnacentral:rRNA from 1 species